rnacentral:rRNA from 1 species
CCGUAGCCUGGUAGCGGGGGAUAACUAUUGGAAACGAUAGCUAAUACCGCAUAAGAGUAGAUGUUGCAUGACACUUGCUUAAAAGGUGCAAUUGCAUCACUACCAGAUGGACCUGCGUUGUAUUAGCUAGUUGGUGGGGUAACGGCUCACCAAGGCGACGAUACAUAGCCGACCUGAGAGGGUGAUCGGCCACACUGGGACUGAGACACGGCCCAG